rnacentral:rRNA from 1 species
AACGAACGCUGGCGGCAUGCCUAACACAUGCAAGUCGAACGAGACCUUCGGGUCUAGUGGCGCACGGGUGCGUAACGCGUGGGAACCUGCCCUUAGGUUCGGAAUAACUCCCCGAAAGGGGUGCUAAUACCGGAUAAUGUCUUCGGACCAAAGAUUUAUCGCCUUUGGAUGGGCCCGCGUUGGAUUAGCUAGUUGGUAGGGUAAAAGCCUACCAAGGCGACGAUCCAUAGCUGGUCUGAGAGGAUGAUCAGCCACACUGGGACUGAGACACGGCCCAGACUCCUACGGGAGGCAGCAGUGGGGAAUAUUUGACCAUGGGCGAAAGCCUGAUCCAGCAAUGCCGCGUGAGUGAUGAAGGCCUUAGGGUUGUAAAGCUCUUUUACCCGGGAUGAUAAUGACAGUACCGGGAGAAUAAGCUCCGGCUAACUCCGUG